CACGUAGUUAGCCGGGACUUAUUCCUGAAGUACCGUCAUUAUCUUCCUUCAGAGAAGAACUUUACGACCCGAAGGCCUUCAUCGUUCACGCGGCGUUGCUGCGUCAGGGUUGCCCCCAUUGCGCAAUAUUCCU
rnacentral:rRNA from 1 species